rnacentral:tRNA from 1 species
GGAGAUAUAGCUCAGUGGUAGAACAUAUGUUUGCCAUAUACAAGACCUUGGGUUCAAUGAUCACCCAAUAUGGUCA